CUAAGAAUAUUCCGCAAUGGACGAAAGUCUGACGGAGCGACGCCGCGUGGAUGAAGAAGGCCGAAAGGUUGUAAAAUCCUUUUGCUGGGGAAGAAUAAGGUGGGGAGGAAAUGCCCUAUCGAUGACAUGAACCGGUGAAUAAGCCCCGGCUAACUACGUGCCAGCAGCCGCGGUAACACGUAGGGGGCGAGCGUUGUUCGGAAUUAUUGGGCGUAAAGGGCAUGUAGGCGGUUGGGAAAGCCCGACGUGAAAUCCUGCAGCUUAACUGUAGAAUUGCGUUGGGAACUAUCCGACUAGAAUCGUGGAGGGGGAGCUAGAAUUCCAGGUGUAGGGGUGAAAUCUGUAGAUAUCUGGAAGAAUACCGGUGGCGAAGGCGAGCUCCUGGCCAAUGAUUGACGCUGAGGUGCGAAAGCGUGGGGAUCAAACAGG
rnacentral:rRNA from 1 species